UCUCCGUUGGUGAACCAGCGGAGGGAUCAUUACAGAGUUUACAACUCCCAAAGCCACAUGUGAACAUACAUAUCUUUGCUUCCGCGGACUCGCCCCGGCCUCCGGCGGACCUUGCGUCCGGCGCGGCGCGGAAGCAGGCGCCCGCCGGAGACCAUCAAACUCAUUGUAUUACCAGUAUCUUUUGAAUUCGCCGCAAGGCAAAACAAAUGAAUCAAAACUUUCAACAACGGACCUCUUGGUUCUG
rnacentral:misc_RNA from 1 species